rnacentral:rRNA from 1 species
AGGCUGCUCAGUAACACGUAGUCAACUUACCCUAUGGACGAGGAUAAUCUCGGGAAACUGAGCAUAAUACUCGAUAGAUCAUAAUGCCUGGAACGGUUUAUGGUUGAAAUGAUUCGUCGCCAUAGGAUAGGACCGCGGCCUAUCAGCUUGUUGGUGAGGUAAUGGCCCACCAAGGCGAUUACAGGUACGGGCUCUGAGAGGAGAAGCCCGGAGAUGGGUACUGAGACAAGGACCCAGGCCCUAUGGGGCGCAGCAGGCGAGAAAACUUUGCAAUGUGCGAAAGCACGACAAGGUUAAUCCGAGUGAUUUCUGCUAAAGAAAUCUUUUGCAAGUCAUAAAACCACUAGUGAAUAAGGGGUGGGCAAGUUCUGGUGUCAGCCGCCGCGGUAAAACCAGCACCUCAAGUGGUCAGGAGGAUUAUUGGGCCUAAAGCAUCCGUAGCCGGCUCUGUAAGUUUUCGGUUAAAUCCAUGUGCUCAACGCAUGGGCUGUCGAAAAUACUGCAUAGCUAGGGAGUGGGAGAGGUAGACGGUACUCGGUAGGAAGGGGUAAAAUCCUUUGAUCUAUCGAUGACCACCUGUGGCGAAGGCGGUCUACCAGAACACGUUCGACGGUGAGGGAUGAAAGCUGGGGGAGCAAACCGGAUUAGAUACCCGGGUAGUCCCAGCUGUAAACGAUGCAGACUCGAUGAUGCAUUGGCAUAUAGCCAGUGCAGUGUCGCAGGGAAGCCGUUAAGUCUGCCGCCUGGGAAGUACGUACGCAAGUAUGAAACUUAAAGGAAUUGGCGGGGGAGCAGA